CGCCCUACGGGAGGCAGCAGUAGGGAAUCUUUCACAAUGGGCGAAAGCCUGAUGGAGCAACGCCGCGUGGGUGAAGAAGGUCUUCGGAUCGUAAAACCCUGUUGUUAGAGAAAAAAGUGCGUGAGAGUAACUGUUCACGUUUCGACGGUAUCUAACCAGAAAGCCACGGCUAACUACGUGCCAGCAGCCGCGGCAAUACGUAGGUGGCAAGCGUUAUCCGGAUUUAUUGGGCGUAAAGGGAACGCAGGCGGCCAUUUAAGGCUGAUGUGAAAGCCUUCGGCUUAACCGGAGUAGUGCAAUGGAAA
rnacentral:rRNA from 1 species